CUACUCGGGUUUCUAAUCCUGUUCGCUACCCAUGCUUUCGCUCCUCAGCGUCAGUUACUACCCAGAGACCCGCCUUCGCCACCGGUGUUCCUCCUGAUAUCUGCGCAUUUCACCGCUACACCAGGAAUUCCAGUCUCCCCUGUAGUACUCAAGUCUGCCCGUAUCGCCUGCACGCCCACAGUUAAGCUGUAGGAUUUCACAGACGACGCGACAAACCGCCUACGAGCUCUUUACGCCCAGUAAUUCCGGACAACGCUCGCACCCUACGUAUUACCGCGGCUGCUGGCAC
rnacentral:rRNA from 1 species